rnacentral:sRNA from 1 species
AGACGAAGAAAUAGGACGCGCCAGGCACGAAGCCAGCCAUCACUUUCCUUCCUUUCUCCGAAACCUCGCCUCUCCCUUCGAACUAAAGUCCACGUCGUAAUCUUUGUGAAUGGCCAUGAUCAGAGCGAUUCCCAAGCUAGUUGCGGUGAUGAUUGCCGCUAUCUCCAGGCCCGUGACUGUCGCUACUGCUGCCAGUCCCAAGGUGCUGAGUCCCCCCGUAACUGGAGCCAAUCCAACGGCAGCCGCGAUUGCCGCGACGCUGACAGCCCCCAGUUUUGCAAACCUGCUCGUCUUCUUGAGAUCGUCAGCCAACUUUCCCAUAACGACAAUCUCCUGCGCCUUCGCGUUCCUGGCCGCUUCUAGCUCGUCCCGCGUCAUUACGAUCACACUUCCCAUCUCACCCCCUGUUGUUAGCAAAAACCACCAAUAGAUCCCCCUCGACAUGGUAGCCGAAGGCUGAGUGCCGGCAACUAUAUUAUCGCCUUGGAAGCAAUGCUCCCGGUCAAGCGUCUCUCUGGCUGGGACAUGCCGCGCUGAAUCGCCCCAAGAGCAACGGCUCGUUCGCCGUGCAGGAGAUUUCACACAAGUAGUUUGCCUGCUCCUCGAAACUCACAGCCAAGGCAUCGUAAUACCAAUGCGGACCGCUCGGAGGUAAUCGAGCACCACGCCCUCGAAGGGGUCCAUAUUAGCCAACCCCUAUUUUCGGCCACAUUAACCACCGG